rnacentral:rRNA from 1 species
UACGUAGGGGGGCUAGCGUUGUCCGGAAUCAUUGGGUUUAAAGGGUCCGUAGGCGGUUUGGUAAGUCAGUGGUGAAAGCCCAUCGCUCAACGGUGGAACGGCCAUUGAUACUGCCAGACUUGAAUUAUUAGGAAGUAACUAGAAUAUGUAGUGUAGCGGUGAAAUGCUUAGAGAUUACAUGGAAUACCAAUUGCGAAGGCAGGUUACUACUAAUGGAUUGACGCUGAUGGACGAAAGCGUGGGUAGCGAACAGG